AUAAUAAACUCUUUUAAGGGUAAAAAAUGAGGUGUCGCUUUUAUUGGAUAAAUGGAAAUAUGUACGAUCCAACAGCCUUAGAAACCCAUUUUUCUCUUUUUCUUAUUUUCCGCCUACUUUCUUCUAUUUGGGUGGUCAUCUUCAUUGACGUGAUAAAAAGAGUGAGUUGGCCUUUUCAUACCCUUUUUAAGGUUAGUGGCAUUAGAUUUUAGAGGCUUUCAAAGGGUAUUACGAUAUGAUAAUUGUUAGGGUUUCCGAUAGAUAUUUCAUUUAUCAGGGAUAAUUGCUUAUUCUUAUUUCCUUUUUCUUUCUUGGGUUUAUCUAGCUGGUCAUUGUGAUAAUGUCUAGCUUAUUCCAUGCUAAAUGUUGCUAUUUCCUUACCAUUUUUUUCCAUUAUAUUUUGCAAAAGAAAGGAUAUGGUAUUAUUGGGAUAUAAAACCAGCACAACAUAUCACAUGGAAAGGUGCAUUUUGAUGGGAAGGGGGAAUGGGUUAAUACGAGCACUUUGCACAAUUUUAGCUCUAUCCCUAACUCAUUUUCAAUUAUUAGUGGUACCAUUGCUAAACUUUG
rnacentral:lncRNA from 1 species